CCUGUGACAUACCUAUAACGUUGCCUCGGCGGGAACAGACGGCCCCGUAACACGGGCCGCCCCCGCCAGAGGACCCCCUAACUCUGUUUCUAUAAUGUUUCUUCUGAGUAAACAAGCAAAUAAAUUAAAACUUUCAACAACGGAUCUCUUGGCUCUGGCAUCGAUGAAGAACGCAGCGAAAUGCGAUAAGUAAUGUGAAUUGCAGAAUUCAGUGAAUCAUCGAAUCUUUGAACGCACAUUGCGCCCGCCAGUAUUCUGGCGGGCAUGCCUGUUCGAGCGUCAUUACAACCCUCAGGCCCCCGGGCCUGGCGUUGGGGAUCGGCGGAAGCCCCCUGCGGGCACAACGCCGUCCCCCAAAUACAGUGGCGGUCCCGCCGCAGCUUCCAUUGCGUAGUAGCUAACACCUCGCAACUGGAGAGCGGCGCGGCCACGCCGUAAAACACCCAACUUCUGAAUGUUGACCUCGAAUCAGGUAGGAAUACCCGCUGAACUUAAGCAUAUCAA
rnacentral:rRNA from 2 species